rnacentral:sRNA from 1 species
GCUGGGUGUGGUGGUGCACGCCUGUAAUCCCUGUGACUUGGGAGGCUGAGGCAGGAGGAUUGUGAGUUCAAAGCCAGCGUCAGCAAUUUAGCAAGGUCCUGUCUCUA